AUUUUACUCUAGAAUAAUACAGUGAAACCUCCUUAUACCCCUUAUAGGGGGCCGGUAUUAAAUGAAAAACAACAACAGUUCUGCAUAACCUAUAUCCCCUAUAUAUCGGUUUCCCUAGAACGGAAAUUCCUUUAUAACGGAAAAAUCAAUCGUCACCAAGCGAUUUCGUUAUAAAGAGGUUUUACUGUACAUUAAUUCAAAUAUAAUAUGACACGGUAUAAUUGAGAAUAGAAAAUAGGAUCAUAUUAUAAUUAUUUUUAAUCUAAAAA